CACCUCCAUAUAUGUCGCACCGUCAACGAUUGAUGGCAUCCGCCGACCGACGCUGGCCGCACACAUCGCCGCGACACCGCACCUCCAGCCGAUUGGAAAUAUUCUCAAAUUUCAACCAAAAUGUAGAUAACUUCCAUUUUCAACAGCCAAGUAACAAAAAUUUCAACACAUUUCUGCAGUAUCUUCAAUUCCAACAUGCUUUCCUUUUUCAUUUCGGGCAGGUGCAUUUCCUCCCCAAUAUUACCUUUCUAGCAAUAAUAUUUUGAAAUUUCAACCACAAUGUAGACACCUUUCAUUUUUCGACCUCACUACAGGAAAAUCACACGCUGCCGAGUAUCUCAAAGUAAGCCGAGUGUCAAAACACGGGUACUCGGCUUAAAUCGUGUAAGCAGAGUAUGGUUUCAGGUACACACAGUAAAAAUAACACAAUCGACUUACAUAGGAGUAAGCCGAGUAUCCGUUGAAUAGGCUUACACACAAAUUUAAAAGAGGUAAAUACACCCACGGUCUUAGAACUUGCAUUGGAUGGUCACUUUGGUGCACAAAGUUGCAAAAUAUGCGUUUGUGGUCACGGAACUUGCAAAACGGUGCAAAUACAGUCACUCCCUUCGUGCGCAGCCGUAUGUGGAGACGCCAGCGUGGCAUGGGCCCGCUGUCAGCGACCAUGGCCUUCCCGCAAGGCGCGCGGGCGGUCACUUUGCAGAAAACCCCGUGGGUUUAUUAUUUUUUGUGCAAAAAAGCCCCUGGAGACGCGGGAACAGAGCGCUUUGCAAAUAAGCGUAUAGGUACCCCAAAAUUGCUGGCAGCCCAUUGUAAUUCCCCACCGCUUCGUCUCCCUUCUCUGUCGAUCGUUCCAAGGCGCUGGCGGAGGCGGAACUGCGGCACGGCAGCCAUCGUCGGAGGAGAUGGAAGAACCGCGCCGCCGACAGCCGGGGGAAGCAGCACCCACAUACGGUGAGUGAUCCCAUGCGUCUACCUCCUCUUUUAUUUACCGAUUUUGUCAGCCCGCCGCGGGUAGGAUUUGUUUGGUAGGAUCGGUGGGUUGUACCAGUUGAUUGAGAUGUUCAGGCUUUGAUUCGAGCGCGUAUUUGGCCUAUGGAUUAGUUGCGACCGGUCAGAACUCUUGCUUCUCCAAUCUGACCUAGGGUUUAAUUGGGGGGUUUCAAGGAGGCGUCUUUUUUGCUUCAGAAAAGUUGAUGAAAGUAAUCCAUAAUUCAUGUUAGGCACGCUAUGUUGACAUAUUUCGUCGUUGAUGCAGUGUGUUAACUAAACAUAUGUGGAACUGAACGUGUGCUUUCUGUAUAAUUAGCAUGUCUGAAAAUACUAAACAUUUGCUGCAAUUUUGUAUGUGAAUAAUGUUGCUUUGUUCAUAGAGAUGUUAGUGCAUGGAUGUAUACUGCUGUGCAUUGCAAAUUGGUGCGCUGAUGUUAAUGUAUUGUUUUUUGUUAAAUUUGAGAGUUAUUUAACUGAAUAUGGCUGCACUGUUCAUAACUGAAUGUGAAUGUUCUGUUUUUACUGAAUGUGAGUGCUCUAGUUCUGGUAUAUGGCUGCACUGUUCAUAACUGAAUGUGAAUGUUCUGUUUUUACUGAAUGUGAGUGCCAAUGGUAAAGAAAACAUCAGCUAUUCAGAGAAACAACCCAGUACAACAGAGAAGCUUUCAAGCCCAGUAAAGAGGUUUAUGCCAUUUGGAGAAGGAUCUAGUUCUGGUAUUGCAGCUGAAGAAGAGGAGAAAGAGUUUGACAUUAGUGAAAAUGGUGAAAGUAAUGGUUCAGAGGGAAAUGGAGAGGAUGUAGAGGCUGAGAAACAUGAGGAUUUCUAUGAGAGUGAUUAUGAAAUAGCAGCAGGUGAUGAUGAUCUGUUUGAUGCCAAUGUGGACAAAGAUGUUGAUGAUCACAGAGAGAAAGAAUAUGUGCAGGACUGUGACGGAGAACUUCCAGAAGAUGCAUUAGAGGAUAGUCAUUUGAACUUGUCAAAAGAAAAGAGAAGUUGAAGCACAAAUUCAGCACUUUCAACCCAAGCACUGAUCUUAAUGCACCUGUUUUCAAGCUUGGGAUGGUCUUUGGAUAUAUGAAAGAGUUGAGCCAUGCUCUCAUUGCAUAUAGUGUCAGAAAUAGAGUGAAGGUGAGCAAGCGUAGGAAUACUUCAAAUUUGUUAGAGGUUGUAUGCAAGCCAGGUUGUACUUGGUACUUGAAGGUAGGACAUGAUAACAGGUCAAGUAGCAUCCAAAUAAAAAAGUACAUUGACAAGCAUACAUGCACCAAAGCUUGGGACCUGAGAGUUCUUACUGCACCUUUUGUUACUCACAAGUUUAGGAAUGAAUUCAGAGACAAUGAGAAAAUGCCUCUGAGGAAAUUUUCAGAGAAAGUUGAGCAAGAAUUCAACUUGGUUGCAAAGAGGACCAAGUUGGGAAGGGCAAGAAGGGCAGCAGUCAAGCAGAUUAGGGGAGAAGAUGAUGAUCAGUACAAAACCCUAUGGGACUAUGGGCAAGAGCUUAGAAGAAGCAAUCUAGGAAGUCAGUUCUUCUUGUGCACAAAGGAGGUGUUUGAUAACAAGGCCAAGAUGACAAAGGACCACUUCUCGACAUUAUAUUGGUCUUAUGAUGCAUGUAAGAGGGGGUUUCUUAAGGCUUGUAGGCCAAUCAUUUUCCUUGAUGGGCGCCACAUUAAAACAAGAUACAAGGGGAAUUUGCUGACAGUAGUAGGAAUUGACCCAAAUGAUUGCAUAUUUCCUAUUGCAUUUGGCCUAUGUGAAGUGGAGUCAACACACAGCUGGGAGUGGUUCUUAACUUCAUUGAAGGAUGAUCUCAACAUAAGCAACAGUACACCAUAUACACUUAUGAGUGACAAGCAGAAGGGUUUAAUAAAUGCAGUUUAGAAUGUUUUUCCUUAUUCAGAACACAUAAAUUGUGUUAGGCAUAUUUACCAAAAUUUUCACAAAGUCCACAAGGGUGAGCAGCUGAAAAAUGACUUGUGGGCUAUAGCUAGAUCCCCAAAUGAGAUGGCCUACACGAGAAGCAUGAAUCAAAUCAAAGAGCACAACCUUGAUGCUUACAAGUGGGUUGAGAAGUUAGCUCCGAAAACAUGGAUCAAAGCUUUCUUCAACCCAUUUUGCAAGUGCGACAUAUUAUUAAACAACAUGUCUGAAGUCUUCAACAGUUAUAUAUUGGAUGGAAGAGAGCUACCGAUUAAGUCAAUGCUGGAUUAUAUUUUCACGAAGCUCACAAAUAGGAUAGUUGGUAUGCAAAGGGAGUCAGAAAAGUGGACAGGAAGACUGUGCCCCAAGAUUCAGAAGAAACUCGACAAAUACAUUGAGUGGGCAAAGAAUUGCAGGGUGCAAGAGUAUGAUAGAGGUGUGUUCAAAGUUUUCUCUCUACAAAACUCAUACAUAGUGGACUUAAAUAUGCUAAGCUGUGACUGCAAAAGGUGGGUACUGUGUGGCAUCCCUUGUCAUCAUGCAAUAGCAACUUUCAGGCAUGAGAGGAUAGAACUAGAGAGCAUGGUUCACUCCUGCUAUACAGUGGAGGAGUACAGAAAGUGUUACGGAUAUAACAUGAUGCCGAUGGGGGAUACAAAGCUAUGGGAGAAAAUGACGGGAUUGAUGUGUAUCCACCAUUGUACACAAAAGUUAUGGGCAGGCCAAAGAAAAACAGGAAGAAAGAUCCAGAAGAGAAGAGUGACAAAAAUGGAGUAAAGAAGGUGACCAAGCAUGGUGUGACCAUGCAUUGUUCAAUAUGUGGAGCAGCUAAUCAUAACAAAAAAGGACACCAUAAUCAUGUUGAUAAGACUCCAAAUGAAGAAGCUGCUAGGGAAUCUGAAGAAGAGUAUGAUGAUCCAUCAAUACUUGUUGGUAUACCCACAGCUGGAUCCAACACAAACACCUGAUUGUAUGGUGUACAAGAUGCAGGAACAUGAGAGAUUCACGUACCCACCCCCUAGGGAAUUUGGCCCCUUGCCUGAGUCUACAUUUAUUGCAAAUGCUAGAGAAGCAAUGCCAGUAGGCAGAGUGACAACAUCAAUGGCUAGGGGGAGGAUGAGAAGUCAGCAAGCAGCACCUGCAAAUGGAGAGGAAGCAGCUGAGUCAAGUUAGCACGCAGCAGCUACGACAAGACCCAAGAAAAAACAAGCAAGAGGGGGAGGCGGUGUAGGGGGAGGAGCAAUAAAUGCUGCAAGAGGAGGAGGAACUGCUGGGAGAGGAGGAAGAGAUGGUGCAAGAGGAGGAAGAAGUGCUGGUAGAGGAGGAAGAAAUGGUGCAAGAGGAGGAAGAACUGCAACUGCUACAUUUGGAGGAAGAGGUGCUGCUCCUGGAGAUGUCACAGGAGCAAGAGCUGCUGCUCCUGGCUUUUACAAUCUCAUGUUUGGAGAUGAUGGAGCUGCUGAUAGAGCACAGUUUAUGCAGGCUGAAGAGGAGGUUUUGUUUAGCGAAAAUGCACCACAUUCUGCUCUAUCUCAAGAUGGCCGACCUACUGAUCAGCAUGAUUUUCUCUCUCUUUAGUUUACAUCAGAACAAGUUAGAGUUCAUGAAUGAACUUUUGGUUAGGUUUAGUUCAUGAAUGAACUGCUCCUGCAGUUGGAGUAAAGAUGUAGUAGCUAGGGCCUUUUCCAACUUUAUUUUGCUUUGGUUUCCUCAAUGUUCAGACUGUAUGAAACUGUAUUUUGCUACGCUUUGGUUUAUGCUAUGACCGUGCUAGUAGUUCAAGAGGCCUCCCAGAUCAAUAUUAAGUAAAUUUCUAUGA